rnacentral:rRNA from 1 species
GACGAACGCUGGCGGCGUGCCUAAUACAUGCAAGUAGAACGCACAGUUUAUACCGUAGCUUGCUACACCAUAGACUGUGAGUUGCGAACGGGUGAGUAACGCGUAGGUAACCUGCCUGGUAGCGGGGGAUAACUAUUGGAAACGAUAGCUAAUACCGCAUAAUAUUGAUUAUUGCAUGAUAAUUAAUUGAACGGUGCAAUUGCACCACUACCAGAUGGACCUGCGUUGUAUUAGCUAGUAGGUGAGGUAACGGCUCACCUAGGCGACGAUACAUAGCCGACCUGAGAGGGUGAUCGGCCACACUGGGACUGAGACACGGCCCAGACUCCUACGGGAGGCAGCAGUAGGGAAUCUUCGGCAAUGGACGAAAGUCUGACCGAGCAACGCCGCGUGAGGGAAGAAGGUUGUCGGAUCGUAAAGCUCGGUUGUAAGAGAAGAACGGGUGUGAGAGUGGAAAGUUCACACUGUGACGGUAUCUUACCAGAAAGGGACGGCUAACUACGUG